UGCAAGUCGAACGGAAUAAGACUGGUUGUAGCGAUACUUUCGGUCUUAUUAGUGGCGAACGGGUGAGUAACACGUGAGCAACCUGCCUUUUACACACGGGAUAACAGCCGGAAACGGCUGCUAAUACCGGAUAAGACCACACUGAGGCAUCUCAGAGGGGUCAAAGCGUUUAGCGGUAAAAGAUGGGCUCGCGUCCCAUUAGCUAGUUGGUGAGAUAACAGCCCACCAAGGCGACGAUGGGUAGCCGACUUGAGAGAGUGAUCGGCCACAUUGGAACUGAGACACGGUCCAGACUCCUUCGGGAGGCAGCAGUGGGGAAUAUUGGGCAAUGGAAGGAAACUCUUACCCAGCAAAUGCCGCGUGAAUGAAGAAGGCCUUCGGGUUGUAAAGUUCUUUUAUUGAUGAAUAAAGAAAGUGAUAUUAGUCAAUGAAUAAGCCCCGGCUAACUAUGUGCCAGCAGCCGC
rnacentral:rRNA from 1 species